CAUGACGAUUAGCAUGUGCAUUCUGCCAGCUGCAGCCCAAGACUGAUUACUCACUGAAGCUAAGCAGGGCUGAGUAUGGUCAGUACCUGGAUGGGAGACCUAGGGAAAACUAGGCUAAUGUUGUCAUAU
rnacentral:rRNA from 1 species